GCAGCAGCAGCGGAUCAUGACUCCACAGCCGGAGCCGGGGAAGGGCAGGACGCUGUGUGUGUGCAUGUUACACACACCAUAGCCUAGGUAUGCUGAGGGUACGAUUCUGCUGGAGCUGAUCAGAGAUCUGUGCUGAGGGUCUGGUUCCGCUGGAGCUGAUCUGAGAUCAGUGCUGAGGGGUAAACAGUUCCCCUUAUUUGACAGGCUCAGUCCCAAGGCCAGCGAGCCACCAGAGACACCGUGCACCGUAACUCAGCCCGUCAGACCUGCAGCAGGAGGGGAGAGAGGGAGGACAGAGGACGAGUGGAAAAAAACAGGAAACAAAAAAGAGAAUGCAGGUGUGACUGCAACUCAGUGUUCUAGUUAUAUAAAUAGCUGCAAUGGUAUUUCUAGGAGGUUGCUAAGGUGUUGCAAUAGUAUAGAUCUUAAUUGCUAAGGUGUUGCUAUAAUAUACAGGUUAAUUGCUAAGAUGUUGCUAUAGGUGGUUGCUAAAGUGUUGCUAUGGUAUGGAAGUUUGCUGCUAAAGUAUUGCUGUUGUAAAGGUGUUGCUGGUAAAGUGUUUCUCGGUGGUUACUAUGCCAAUCCACUGGUUGCUAUGGUUUUGCUAACUGGCUGCUAAAGGCUUACUAUGGUACUGUAUCAGAGUUUGCUGCUAGGGUUUUCUUGGCAGUUGCUAAAGUCUUGCUAAGUGUUUUUGCUAAUCAGUUUCUAAAGUGGUGCUAUGGUAUAGAAGUUAGCUGUAAGUGUGUUAUUUGGCAGUUGCUAAAGUCUGCCAGGUGGUUGCUAAGGUAUUGCUGUUGUAAAGAUGUUGAUAAGGUGUUUCUUGGUUGUUACUAUGUCAGUGCAUAGGUUGUUAUGGUUGUGCUAAUUGGUUGCUAAACUCUUAUUAUGGUACUGUAUAGGAGUUUGCGGCAGAGGUUGUUGCUUGGCAGUUGCUAAAGUCUUGCUAAGUGGUUUGUAAGGCAUUGCCGUGCACUGAUUGGUAUGGUUUUGCUAAUUGGUUGCUAGGUGGUUGAUAAAGUAUUACUAUGGUAUAAUGUAGGUGUGUUUUAGUUGCUAUGGCAUUGCUUGGUGGUUGCUAAAGUUUUGCUAUGUGGUUGCUUAGGUAUUGACAUUGUUAAGGUGAUUUGGGUAAGGUGUUUAUUGGUGGUUGCUUUGCUAUGGUUUUGAUAAGUGGUUGCUAGGUGGUUGCUAAAGUGUUACUAUGGUAUACAGUAGGUGUGUAUUAAGUUGCUAGGGUGUUGCUUGGCAGUUUCGAAAGUCUUGCUAGGGGGUUGCUAAGGUAUUGAUGUUGUAAAGCUGUUGUUUCUUGGUUGUUAAUAUGCCAUUGCACUGGUUUCUAUGGUUUUGCUAAGGUGUUACCAUGGUAUAGCUGGUAGUUGCUAAGGUGUUUCUAUGUUGUAAACAAAUAUUUUUUUAUAAAUGUUGGAGUCUAAAAACCUUUGGCAAAAGAGUGAAAUCUAUAAGAUUGGUGUAUAGAGUGCAAUAACCGAUAAGAAUAUUUAUGACUUAAUGAUUUCUUGUUUUUGAAAAAUGUUCAGUAAAUCAGGUAUAAAUAUCAUACACAAUAAUAUUAUUGCACAUAAUAAAUUAAUAAACAUUAUAUAACAUUAUACAUUACAGGUGUUUCCUUAUGUUUGACUGAUAUAUAUUUAUGUGGAGACUGCGGUCUGAGUGGAGCUGCUGUGCUCUGCAGGCUGAUUGGUGAUGAUAGGACUGUUAUAUACUGUACAUGCAGUGGUCGCCAAGCUCCGCCCCUUUCCUCUCCCCCUUACCCAGGCCCCUCCCACCUCCUCCUCCUUUUCCAUGCUGUGUGGUCUCUCGCACAAACAUCAUCUACAGAAAAACCCAGGGAGCUGUGUGUGUGUGUGUGUGUGCUUGCUCACAGCUGUAACUAACAUAAUAUGCGACAGAAGCCUGGAAAACAUGCACACACACACACACACACACACAUAUAUUGGGCCUCUACAUUUGGAAUGGAAUGCCGGCUUAAAUAUCCUUCCCCACAGAGGUACACUAAACAGUACUGCAAAUUAACCACACACACACACACACACACUCACUCAUAGGCCCUGUCCCAUUAAUCACACUUGCAGCCUUUCUCUGCACCCCUGCAUCAUUUUUUACAUAUAACCGUAUUAAUAAGAUGUACAACUUCAAAUCAGGAACAAGUUGGGACCGUUGGGAACGCCGACUUCUCAGGGCUUGGAGGAAUCUUGGAUGGACAGUAGAAACACAGUAGAAUUACAAUAUAUUGUGGUCAGAUAAAUCAGUAGGUAAGAAUGUACUUUAAAGCAAAAAUGAAAAGAAACAUCCAUGGUCGUAUCUUACACCAUGCGCAAGGUACGUUGCGAUGCUCAUUACUAUCUUACAACUCGUCAACAAUCUAUUUUCAUGCUGUGCGCCUGCAUCGUAUGAAUAGCAACAAUGCUUGUGUAUAUACCUACAUUGAUAGGAGUGGCGGUCUGGAAGUGAGGUGUGUUCAGGUGCAUUUCUUGCAUAUUGCUAUCUUGACAAUGAAAAACACAGGUGCACCACUGACGGAAAACUGAAUACAGUAGUGCUUGGUGGCAACACAUUUUAGCAAUUCACAGAAACACUGACAAAGGGACCAACCUGAUGACCCGUGUGAAGAGCUUGUGGCAAAGCUGAUGGUUAAUGUAUGAUCAGAAAUGUUGCUGAUCUGAUCAUAAACCAAAAGCACCAAAGCACCCUAGCUGUUAGGCGGAGGAGGUUACUAUAGUGUCGUGUAGUUAAAGGUACAGGGGAUACGGGGCAUAGUUUGCCCCUGCAGAUAAAUUGCUUUUUCCACCGGU